AGUUACAUUGGCAGGUGUCA
rnacentral:misc_RNA from 1 species